AGGCCGCCGGGCCCGCGGGCGCGCAGGUAGCGGCGCGGCGGGCGGAGGAAGCUGAUGCGGGCAGGGUCUGCUCCUGCUUCCUCAAAACACGGCCCGCCCAAGUGCUGCCAGGUUCACGGCCCAGGCCGGGGACCGGAGCAACACAGAACCCCUGGUCAGGUGCUCAACCUGCGCACAGAGACCCAGGCUCAGCCCCGCACCAGACCCACGAUCUCCUCACCGUGACCAGUAGCCGUCGGCUGCUCAUGAGUGUCUUCCCUCCACUUAAGGAGUUGCACCGUGUCGUACAUAUUCACAGG